GCGGCAGGCCUAACACAUGCAAGUCGAGCGAAGUCUUCGGACUUAGCGGCGGACGGGUGAGUAACGCGUGGGAACAUACCCUUUGGUACGGAAUAGCCUCGGGAAACUGGGAGUAAUACCGUAUGUGCCCUUCGGGGGAAAGAUUUAUCGCCGAAAGAGAAGCCCGCGUUGGAUUAGCUAGUUGGUGGGGUAAUGGCCCACCAAGCCGACGAUCCAUAGCUGGUUUGAGAGGAUGAUCAGCCACACUGGGACUGAGAUACGGCCCAGACUCC
rnacentral:rRNA from 1 species